GGGUGAUUAGCUCAGUUGGUAGAGCGCUUCGUUUACACCGAAGAUGUCGGCGGUUCGAACCCGUCAUCACCCACCA
rnacentral:tRNA from 1 species